rnacentral:misc_RNA from 1 species
UACGGAGGGUGCAAGCAUUGAUCGGAAUUACUGGGCGUAAAGGGCGCGUAGGCGGUUUGUUAAGUCAGAUGUGAAAUUCCGGGGCUCAACCCCGGAACUGCAUUUGAAACUGGCAGGCUAGAGUGUAGUUAGGGUAAACGGAAUUCCACGUGUAGCGGUGAAAUGCGUAGAUAUGUGGAAGAACACCGGUGGUGAAGACGGUUUACUGGGCUAUAACUGACGCUGAGGCGCGAAAGCAUGGGGAGCAAACAGG